rnacentral:lncRNA from 1 species
CUCUCCCUCCUGUGACACUGUCACCCACAGGAGCAGAUCUGAACGCUCAGAAAGCCACACGUAGUUGCGGGUACGAACAUUUCCCUUAAUGAUCGUCCCAGCCUCUGCUGCACCUCAGUCAUUCUGUGAGGUGAGGAGCUUUUACACAAAGUAUUCCUGGGGUUGGGGGGGGGAAGGGUACUUUCUACCUCUUUCCUGAAAAACACAACCUUGCUUUCUUUGCAUUACUGAUCAAAGCCCACUUCCACAAAGAUGCCUGAGAUGAAUCCCAGUGGGUCCUCAUUAAAGGGCUCCCUCCAGCCUUCAGGACGCUCCACCCUCUUACCGUGUCUUCCCCAGACUCGGCCCCGGGGGCUGUAAACCCGGUUUCCAGCUCCCAGGUGACAUCAUCAAUGCCGCUUCUCAAGGAACACGGUUUCCCAGGCCUCCGUCACUGUUUCCAUCCCCGUGGAAAGUAAAAAGGAAGGCGUUUUGAGAAUCCACCUCUCAGCACAAACCCUCAAUUACAUCCUUCCUCAGCAGGAAUCGGGGUUUGAUGUGCAGAUUCCACGUCUGGAGAAAAGGAGAAAAGAGACACGGCCUGUUGGAGAAAGGCCAUCAAGACAGGAGCUUACGAGAGAUCAGACUUCAGGCAGGACGUGAUUGUUGGCCUGGAGACGCCGGGAGAGAGGUUUAUUUUUCCAACCAUUACCCAUAAUUAAUCAGCACUUCCAUAGAUUAAAACACUCUUCUGAUACCAGAUAUGCUGUACAAGGUUUUUUCCUUUAAU